CUGACGAGUGGCGGACGGGUGAGUAAUGUCUGGGAAACUGCCUGAUGGAGGGGGAUAACUACUGGAAACGGUAGCUAAUACCGCAUAACGUCGCAAGACCAAAGAGGGGGACCUUCGGGCCUCUUGCCAUCGGAUGUGCCCAGAUGGGAUUAGCUAGUAGGUGGGGUAACGGCUCACCUAGGCGACGAUCCCUAGCUGGUCUGAGAGGAUGACCAGCCACACUGGAACUGAGACACGGUCCAGACUCCUACGGGAGGCAGCAGUGGGGAAUAUUGCACAAUGGGCGCAAGCCUGAUGCAGCCAUGCCGCGUGUAUGAAGAAGGCCUUCGGGUUGUAAAGU
rnacentral:rRNA from 1 species